UUUUUUAUUCCUUUAUUUCUAAUUAAUCGGAUCUUAUAAGAUUUAUAUUGUUUCCAUUUUAAAUUCCCCGUAAUCAAUUGGAUUUUAAUUUUGGGAUCUUUUCAUUUGUAUAUUUAUAAUUAUUCUUUCAUUCAUUUAUACGGUAAAAAAUACACCAAAAACUCUAUCUUUUUCCCUUUCAGCUGCCGCCUCUCCUUCUUCUCCUUCUUCAUUGUCGCUGACAGACUUGUGCAAUGGGAAGUGCGACAACUACGACGGUUGGGAGCUUCUAUUUCAUCGACGACCGUUGCUGCUUCCCUUUGAAGUCGAUGUUGUGGAGGUGAAAUUUCUCGCCCCGAGUCGCGUCCAUGGCCAAGGCUUACCCCUAGCUGGAGAAAGUACACCUGAAGCAUCCUUCCUUGGAUUUAAAGAGCUCGUCCUAGUUUGUUGCGAGGGUUAGGACUUGGAGUAUAUCUUUAUCCAAUGGAGAGAACCACUUUGAUCAAUUUUCAGUGAUGAACUUUGGUAUUAUUGUAAUCUUCAAAAUAUAUUAUGUGUAUCAUCAAAUAUGUUAUGUGUUACUUUAUACAACUAUAUAUAUAUAGAUUAUAUAUGUAUAUGUUUAAUCUGUUGUAUAUAUGCUUUAUGAGAUUCGCGCGUAUAUUGGUAUUGGUACGUUUAAUCUAUUUUCUUUUUCUUCAAAAUUAAUCUUCUAGUUUUAUGAUCAAUCAAAAGACUAAAUUAUAUUCAGGUAUCUCCAAUUGGUUAGCCUUUGCCUUUUGUUUCUCGAAUACUCAGUUUGGUCAGCCUUUGUUUUGUGUCUUUGAGUUGCAUUAUGUUUUUGUUUUAGCUUUGUCUAACAAUAGUGUUUAUCACUCGUGUCUCUCCUCUAAGGACUUUGGUUUGAUCUUUUCCUUAUAAUCAACUUGUUUAAAGGUUUUGCAUGUUUUAGUUUUCGUAUAAUUAGCUUGGUUAGCCUUUGUUUUGUAUUCUUUAAUUUGAACUGUGUUUUUCUUUUAGCAUUCGUAUCUGUCCUCUGAGGAUUUCGGUUAGAUCAUGUCCCUAUAAUCAACUUGUUUUCUUAUACUCGGCUUGGUUAGUCUUUGGUUAUUCAUCUAUUUGCCAUAUAUAUUUACUUUUUUAUCAUUUCAAACCAGUAAUGUUUUUGUUAAUAUAAAAUGAUUAAAUGGGGCAUAUGCAUGUCUUGUUGCUCUAGGUGCAUGAUAACUUUUAGAGUUGAGUACAGAAAGUGUCUGUUGUCUCGUGCUUUUGAUGGUGCAACUUUUGUAUAUCUCACACUCAACAUUAUGUCGAAAGUAUUGAGGAAAUUAUUUCAAAAGCCCAACAUUCUCCAUUGGCUUCACUUUUUUCUUCACAGAUUUUGGUGCCUUAUUAACAAAUUCUCAUGGAAACAACAUAAUUUCGAAAUGGAAACAAUUAGCAUUAAACCUCAUAUAUAUAUAUAUAUAUAUAUAUAUAAAUAUAUAUAAUGAAAAAACAACUAAAAUUAAAUGAAAAUAAUUUUUCUUUGAAAUGGAAAUUUUAGUUUAUUACGAAAUGGAAAUAAAUAUUAUAAAAAUUGCAAACAACUCACAUUAAAAAUAAAAACAAUUUAAUCACAAAAAAUAAAAACAAUUAGCAUUUAAUCUUAUAUAUAUGUGUGUUAAAAUGAAAACAAAUAUUAUAAAAAAUAAAAAUAACUCACGUUAAAAAUAAAAACAAUUUAACCUUAAAAAUAAAAACAAUAUAAUCUCGAAAUGAAAAUAAUUAGCAUUUAGCCUCAUAUAUAUAUAUGUGAAAUGGAAACAACUAGCAUUGAAAAUGAAAAUAAUUUUUCAUCGAAAUGGAAAUUUUAGUUUGUUGCAAAAUAGAAGUAACUAGCAUUUAACCUCAUAUAUAUAUAUAUGUAUGAAAAUAAAAACAAAUAUAAUAAAAAUUAUAAACAACUCACUUUGAAAAUGGAAACAAUUUAACCACAAAAAAUAGAAACAACUAGCAUAUAACCUCGUAUAUAUAUAUAUAUAUAUAAAUAUAUAUGUGUGUGUGAAAUAAAAACAACUAGUAUUGAAAAUAGAAACAAUAUAACCUCGAAAUGGAAAAUGUAAUUUGUUGCGUAGUGGAAACAACUAGCAUUAAAUCUCAUAUAACAUAAAAAGUGGAAACAACUCACAUUGAAAAUGGAAACACUUUAACCUCAAAAAAUAGAAAUAACAUAACCUUCAAAUAGAAACAACUAGCAUUGAAAAUAGAAACAAUUCAAAUUAAAAAUACAAAUAGUUUAACCUCAAAAAAAAAAAAAAAAAAAAAAAAAAAAAAACUAGCACAAUAUAUAUGUGUCAAAAUAGAAACAACUCACAUUGAAAAUGAAAAUAAAUCAUAUUAAAAAUAAAAUAAUUUAACCUCAAAAAAUGGAAACAAUAUAACUUUGAAAUGGAAACAACUAGCAUUGAAAAUAGAAACAAUUUAAAUUGAAAAUACAAAUAAUAUAACUUCAAAAUAGAAAUAACUAGUAUUUAACCUCAUAUAUAUGUGUGUCAAAAUAGAUACAAAUAUCAUAAAAAUAAAAAGAACUCACAUUGAAAAUGGAAAUAAUUUCAGUUUAAAAAAUUGAACAACAUAACUUCGAAAUGUAAACAACUAGCAUGAAAAUGGAAACAAUUUUUCCACAAAAUGAAAAUUUUAGUUUGUUGCGAAAUGAAAUCAACUAGCAUUUAACCUCAUAUAUAUAUAUAUAUAUAUAUAUAUAUAUAUAUACAUAUAUAUAUAUAUGUGGUGUGUGAAAAUAGAAAUAAAUAUCAUAAAAAAUAGAAACGACUCACAUUGAAAAUGGAAACAAUUUAACUACAAAAAAUAGAAACAACUAGCAUUUAACCUCAUAUAUGAGUGAAAUGGAAACGAAUAGCACUAAAAACGAAAACAAUAUAACCUUGAAAUGGAAAUUAUAGUUUGUUGCGUAAUUGAAACAAAUAGCAUUUAACCUCAUAUAUCAUAAAAUAAUUUAAACAACUCACAUUGAAAAAAAAAACAAUUUAAUCACAAAAAUUAGCAUUUAACCUCGUAUUUAUAUAUAUAAAUGUGAAAUAAAAAUAACUAGCAUUGAAAAUAGAAAUAAUAUAACUUUGAAAUGGAAACUAUAGUUUGUUGUGUAAUGGAAACAACUAUCAUUCAAACUCAUAUAACAUAAAAAGUGGAAACAACUCACAUUAAAAAUAGAAACAAUUUAAUCUCAAAAAAUAGAAAUAACAUAACCUUGAAAUAAAAACAACUAGCAUUGAAAAUGGAAACAAUUCAAAUUAAAAAUACAAAUAAUUUAAGCUCGAAAUGGAAAAAAAGAAAAACUAGUAUUUAACCUCAUAUAUAUAUAUGUAU